UAUCUCUGUAGAGUCUGCAUAUCAAUAAGCGGAGGAAAAGAAACUAACUAGGAUUCCCUUAGUAACGGCGAGUGAAGCGGGAAGAGCUCAAAUUUGAAAUCUUCAAGGUUUUACCUUGACGAAUUGUAGUUUAAAGAAGUGUUUUCUGUUGGUGUUUUGGUAAAAGUUCUUUGGAAUAGGACAUCAUAGAGGGUGAGAAUCCCGUAUUUGACCAUUACUUCCAGCGUUGUGAUACACUUUCAAAGAGUCGGAUUGUUUGGGAAUGCAGUCCAAAAUGGGUGGUAAAUUUCAUCUAAAGCUAAAUAUUGGCGAGAGACCGAUAGCGAACAAGUACCGUGAGGGAAAGAUGGAAAGAACUUUGAAAAGAGAGUUAAACAGUACGUGAAAUUGUCAAAAGGGAAGCGUUUGACACCAGUGUUGUUUUCUCGAAAAUCAAUUAAAAAAAGUUGGAUUUUGUAUUGUUAAGACCUUAUCAGCUUACUGUACUCUUUUCUUGCUUUUUUUAAUGCACUUUUCGUUUAACAAGUCAGCAUCAAUUUCUUUUGUUGUAAAAGAGUCAUUGGAAGGUGGCUUUCACUUCGGUGAAAGUGUUUAUAGCCUUUGGCUUCUGCAAUCGGAGAGAUUGAGGUCUGCAGCGUAGAUCCUUCGGGGCUAGAUACGUAGAUGCUAAGUUAUAGUUUUUUAUAGACAACUUGUUGACUAUAAUUAAUCAUGUAGCUUACUCGUUUGCGCUAUUUUACCUACGCUUAGGAUGUUGACGAGACUGUCGAUCUC
rnacentral:rRNA from 1 species